UUAUUGUAUCUCUUUGGGAAAUGAAAAGAAAAUUAUUACAUACUGUUAAAUGUUUGUUAUACAUACAUGCAUAAUUACACGAUAAUAAAAAUCCCGUUAUUAAAUAAAAUACAUGAAAUCAAUAGCAAGUAACACUUGGUUAACCAACACAAUCGAGAGCACUUUCAUGACAAGCGGUUCUUUUUUAUCAUUAAACGAUCUCAUUUCCUUCUUCUUUCUAUUGUUUUCUUAUCUUAUUUUGUAGUUUUUACGUCAGUAGAAAUUCAUUAUACGUGAAGCGUUUGAAAGUGAUAGAACAUAAAUGUGAUGUCGCGUUUCUUUUAAUUCUAUGAUGUAUUAUAAUAAGUGCAUAAUUUUAACAAUACAUUGAUACGGUUCGCUUAACUUAAGUUUUGAAGAAUCGACUUUCCAUAAUGUUGGCGUUUCGAAACUAUCGGCGCGCUUUUAUGUAUUUGUGUGCUAUUUCUUUAAUCAUUUACGGUAGUUAUAUUAUUAUUAAUAAAUGUAUCAAUAAACGUUCUGUUAAAGGAAUGUUAUCUUUAAAUACCAAAGAACGAAAUUUAUUGUUUCCAAAAGAAUUAACAAUAAAAUUAAGGAAACAAAGUGUUUCGGACAAAGAGUUAACGAAUAUGUCUAUACUUGGAAAUUGGCUUUUAUCGUUCGAAAAAUCUUUACCGCUUAUAAUACAGAAAAAAAAGAAACCUUAUAUUAUUCUAAUUUGGAGACACGGACCAUUAUUGGAAAGAAGACAUAUUAGGCGUUUUACUAAUACUAAAUAUUCACCGUGGGAAAAUUGUUCGGUCAAUAAUUGCUUAUUGAGUUACGAUUCGCAGGACUUAAAUAAAGCAGACGCACUUUUAUUUCAUCUUCAUCUUACAAAAAGUGUAAAAGAUUUACCUAUUAGAACUCGUUGGGAUCAAAGAUGGAUCUUUUUAACAGACGAAUCGCCAAUGCAUACAUUUUUAUAUAAAAAUCAAAAGUUAUCAGAUUACAAUGGCUUAUUUAAUUGGUCAAUGUCGUACCGCAUGGAUAGUGAUAUACCUGUACCUUAUGGCAGAACUAUUCCAAUAUCUUCGACGAGAAAUUUGUUCAAUGAUUUAACAUAUUUACGUAAUAGCUUUAUAAGAUCGAAAACUAAAUUAGUUGCUGUAAUGGGUAGCAAUUGUUCUGGCAAAAAUCACAGAUGGGAAUACAUUCGCUCUCUAAAAAUUUUAUUGAGUGAACAUUUCGAUAUUUACGGACGAUGUAGGGGAGGUAAUACGACGGCUUGUCCUGGUCAUUUUGACAACGAUUGUACCGCUUUAAAUGCUUAUAAAUUUUAUCUCGCGUUUGAAAAUUCAAAUUGUAAAGAAUAUCUAACUGAAAAAGUUUUUUGGAAUGGAUAUGAAAAAUUUGCCGUUCCGAUAAUCAUGGGUCCUUCGAGAAAUGAUUGCGAACGUCUUUUACCGUUAGGAUCAUACUUACACGUUGAUGAUUUUACUGAUCCAAUCGAAUUGGCGCACUAUCUGAAAUAUUUAGAUCGCAAUAUUGAUAAUUACCUUAAAUUUCACGAAUGGCGUCGAUAUUAUGAAAUAUUGAAUGAACACGGUUAUUUUGGUAGCGCAUCUCGUCACUAUUGUCGUAUUUGCGAGGCUUUGCAUUAUAAUUCUCGGGCGAAUAAAGUUUAUAAAGAUCUCGAUAAUUUUUGGGGCAAGGAAAAAUUCUGUAAGUAGAUCAAAUUGAAAUAUCUUCGAAAAUAUACUGGAGUUCGUGGUAAAAAUAUAUAUUAUUAACCUCUUAGAUGUGAAUAGCGAGUGUACUCGUCAUGUGAUAAAAUAAAUGUAACAAAAAAUAUGUUGCAAAUAUGUCUAUAAAAUGCUUUCAAGGGCACAAUGAUAUCUAUAAUGGUGUAACUAUACAUUCCAUUGAAGAACCUUGUCCUAUCACAGUGUUCUCUGAAUGUUUAAAAG